rnacentral:lncRNA from 1 species
CGAGUGUGAAUACACAUGACAAUCUUAACCAUGCUUACUGCUUUAGUAUGUAUAACAUUUUCACACAGUUUUAUGAUACUAACGAGAUAUUUAUUGAUUUUUAGGUACCAAGCAACUUCUAAGGUGAUUUGAUAUAAUAGACAUAUGAUUCUUUGAGCGUCAAAAUUGGAGUUGUCCUACAAAAAACAGUUCUUGUAUGCCCGCAAUAGUUUCUCCUAUUUACUGGACUGGAUCUGCGUUAUCCUCGACGACUUGCCCUACCUGGUGCCUAAUAUUCCUGUAAUAUUAUACAUGCAAGAAGUGAACAUUAAACAUUUUGGAUAAAAAUAUUUGUUGCAAUGUGUACUGUGAUAUAAACAUUUUAAAUAUUUGUUUAAUUGUGCUAUGGAACUUAUAUGUCACCAGAAAUAUCUAGCAGUUAUUUUCAUGCCGUUAUAUGUGUAUCUAGCUACUAUAUAUACAUCCCCUAGUUGGCUGAUCAAAUUUAUAAUUACCUUUGGUCUAACGAUCUGCAUAUUACAAGGGGUAUCCAUCUAAAGGCCGUGUUUAGGUCAUAGAUUUUGGAUAUGUCAUCAAUCUGCUCCCUCAUAUGUUACCAGAAAAUAUGUACUCCCUCGAAGAAAUAGAAGAUUGUUUAGAACACUAUAUUUCUUUACAGAUGAAGUAGUACUUGUUUCGGUACCAAGAUAUGUGUAUCUAGCUACUAUAAUAUCUCC